AGGGGCCAGGACAGCACUCUGUUCAAGGAGCUCGGGGUGACGACCAGCACCUAAACCUUCUUCCUUUUCUGGCCCAUCACAGCGACACCUGCUGGCUCUGACCAGCUUUGGACCAGCCCAACUGACUGUCACAAGCUGAGGUGGGGGCCAGACCUUGUGACAGUAGAGAAGGGAGGCAGGGCACCCGGUGGGGGAGGGGGAGAGGAGGCAGGGGGUGGUGAAGAGGGGGAGGCCGGCAGGCUGAGCCCGGCCCGACCGCCCCACACCACCCAGGCCCCACUGAGGGAGCCUCAGACAGGACUCCCACCCCACUCAGGACAGGACUGUGCCCAUGGAGGUGGGAGCGUCCGGGGUGCAGGCAGCACCAGCCUGCCUACCAGGUUGUUGGCGUAUGUGACUGUUUGCAAGAUUCACGUGUGCGGAGACCGUCUAUGACUCCAGUCCACGCGCUGCCUGUGACCACUGUGUGACCCUAACCAAGGCCCUUGACCUCUCUGAGCCCAACCUCCUCAUCUCUUGGAGGGUCAACCCCAAGCCGUUGAUGGGGAGCCAUGGAGAGCCCCAUGUCAUGCCCUCAGCACCGAGCCCAUCAGGCGGGGACACGGCAAGCUGCAGGCUCCAAACGUUCCUCACCAGCCUCUGAGGCCCACGUCCUGGGGCCACAUUCUCCAGGACCUGAGGCCUAGACCAGGCCCUCUGGGACCUCAGGACCUCCAGGACCAUCUCUCUUCCCUGCCAGGAGACACAUGACCCAGCGGCUGCCUCUUCACAUCUGGGCAGCACCCAUGGCCCGGAGUGUGCCCCACCCCCACCCCAGGGGCCUCCCUGUAGCCCAGGACAGGGGUGAGGCAGCAAAGGCAGAGAGAAGGGAAGCCACUUGCCUAGGGUCACACAGCUGGCAGGAGGUAAAGCCAGGAGAUGUCCGGGGACCCAGACAGCGCUGGCUACAGAGGAGCCGGGAGGGGAUGGAGGGGCCACUGCCUGGACCGAGAACCUGUCCAGCCCACCCCAUCUUUCUGUCUAACCCUGGGCAGGCCUUUCCCUCUCUGGGCCCUUUUCCCACUGGAAAAGGCCUUUGCACUUACUGUUCCCUCUGCCUGGAAUGUCCUUCCCCCCAAUACCCAAUGCUGGCUUUUCCUUGCAUUGAAACAUAGCUGAAAUGUCAGCACCCCAGAGAGCCCUCCCCGAGACCUCCCAGAUAACAACUGCCCUCCCUCAGUC
rnacentral:lncRNA from 1 species